UUUGAUGCAGAAUUCUUGGUUCUUAGUUUUUAUAUACUUUUUGUAGAAUUUGUUACGCAGAUUUUUAAGUUUAUUUAAUUUAGGUGUAUACCAUGGGAACUUAUAGCACCGCUUUUUUAAUUGGUGAAUAUUAGAGAAACAUAUAUCCAACAGUGUCGAUUUAAAUUCAUUAAAGCAGUCAGUGACAUUUAAGCCCGAAAGCAUGUCAUCCCAAUUAAUAGCACAUAACAGAUCAUUAAGCCUAGAGAAGUCACAGGAAGAGUAAUUAAAGGCGAUUCUGUUGGCCGGUUUGCUGACGGAAAAUGCAUAAAAUUCUACUCUAAGCAGCAUUGAAACAUGAUUUUUAUCAGCAGGAGAGAAGGGAAAAGGACAUUGAGAGAUAGUAGAAUCAAAGUGGCCAGUAACGAAAAUGAGAUUAAGAAUUCUAUUAAGUUUGUUUUCAAAAUAAUUAAUUUGAACUAAAUCUAAACUUAAGAGAUUAUCAAUGAAAUAUGAUUCAAGGGAAGUUGUAAUACAUAUUAGUUGGAAUUAGCCCAAAGUUGGAAAAAUGUUUUGACCAUAUAAUGUUCGGAAGAUUAAAAUCGCCAAACACGCAGAGAUGAUUAUCAUUAACUUUAUUUUGAGCAAGGGAGACAAUUGUUGUCGGAAUUGGAUUUAAAAACGACAAAAAAAUUACUUUGGUGUCAUGAAAUCCAAUGUUAUCGGUUUUAUGUUCGAAUCGGAAUUAGUGUCGAUUUUAGGUGUCACAGAAACCAAUAAUAUCGAUUUUGGUAUCGGAAACAAACCAAGCAGCUAACGGCUGUUGGAUUUCAUUUGUUUAUUAGUUUUCCUUACUUCCAGUUGGAUAUUUUAUAAAAAUAGCCGGGAUAGAGUGCAUCGACGGCUUGAAUUUUAUGUCACCAUCACACAUCUAAAUAAAAAUGUACAUGCAUAUAUAUAAAUCAAGGCAAUGUACGAGUAAAAUGAAGAUUCAUGAUUACUUACAAUCAGGGCAUUCAUACUGAAUUAUUUUCGAUUAUAAAAUAAAUGUUCGUCAAUACUGGG